UAAAAUUAUGGGACGAUAAGACCCUAUAAAAUUUUAUAUUAUAUUUAUAUAUCAAAUUAUUUUUUUUUAA
rnacentral:tRNA from 1 species